AUGAAAGAGACGGAAUGUUUUUGUUUUUCAUCGAAGUUUCGAUGGUCGUUCUGUCUUUUUCUUGCGUCGUUGCGAAUUUUCGGCAGAACUGUCAAAUGAGUUUUUUUUCCAAUCAGGAAACACGUUUUGCUUCUCUGGAUGAUGAAGUCCGGAACCGAAGGACCGGGUCCUUAACAGCAACAUGCUUCGUUACCGCCGCAGUUCUGUGCGCUGAUGUCAACGUUCAUGUAUUGUGGCAGCGCAGGUGAAAGCUCCGGAUCGCCACCGUCUUCGUCGGACGGUCCACGCAGUCGGUGAUAAAUAUCGUGACUCGUACGGAUGAGGCGGAGGAGGUAACGGUUGCGGAUCUCACAAACAAAUCCAACCUCCAAGGUGUGUCAUCUGGCAGCGCCGCGAGAUCCUGGACAGGAUGAGGUCGGAUCAAAUCGAGACAAGACAUCGGAGGGAAUGCUAAGAGUGGUGACAUGGAACAGAUGGCAGGCCAAACCGGUUCCCAUGGCGAUUCUGCGAUUUCAGAAAAAAGUACCUGAUUACCAAUCGGCGACAGUGGUUUCCCAGCAAUCAGCUGUUGGGAUUAGGCUGAAGUGGGACGAUCCUCGACCUAACCCGUCACGAGGAGAAUCCGUCAGCGGAGCUAUCGUAAUUUCGUCAUCUCAGCUGUACAAGUGGCACCUAGCCGUCCUGAACGGCCACGAUCAGUUGGAGCAUGAUUAGGACCAAGUCAAAGAUUCCGCCAUCGGGAGGCUAGUUUCCGGAACGCUCAAUAUCAGAAGGAAGCUGUCUCUAGAGGAUGCAAAUCAGCCCGGGGUAGCCGAUGUCAGCGAACCCGGUGUUGCAGGAUGGGUGACAUUUUCUGGCCAAUCCGCUAAACAAGCCAGAUAGAAACGACUGCCACCAUCCUAUUACGUAGAUCGCAUAACCAGGGAGUUGAGAUAGCCCUAAACGACCGCAGCGAACGCCAGAAAAUGUCAUGUUCUGGACGCGAUGGCACGCCGCAAAACUGACCACGCGGGUGGUUAAAAAUGCGAUCGAGAAAUUUGAAUCGUCGGUUGCAUGCCGCCUCGCCUGUGGUGUUAAAGUGUGGCUGCGGAAAACCCCGGCCAGACUCACCAUCAGUCGUGCUAAACUCCUGCCGCUGGUCCAGACAUUACUCGAUGCACAACACGGCGACUCUUAAGUACCUUAGCUGCAGCAGUGCGUAUUAUGACAUCCAUGCAGAUCUUCUGAGACCUGCACCAGGACUCGGACCAGACUCGAACAUGGACGCCAUCUCCAUUAGCACGUGCGUCUAAAUGCUGGUCCAAAACGAAGUCGUGAUCUGCCCCGCCGGGUCCACAGCAAAGUGGUCUUGCUCCGGUCUGUUGAAAAUCGUGUUUGCCGGUUCCAAGACGAAGGUGGUUGGAACACAGAGUAACCCAGAGAGAACAGUCCAAACAAAAGUAGUCAAAUUUUGUGGCUCCGUUACUUGUAUACCCUUUGGAAAGGUAGCGGCUUUCAGCGUUAUGUUUUGAGCGUUACGGGGUUGAUGAAGAAAAAUUUUCAUCAUAGUAAACUCAGGAUUUUUCUGAUUUUUGUUUUGUUUUGACAAGUGCCAUGUUUUGAUGACUGAUUUGUAAUUUUGUUCCUUUCAAGUGAUAAGUUGGCAACCACCGCACUCUGUUCGCCCCUACGACGCUCAAGCCCACUGGGCACACGCGGGCUGCUGCUGUUUGACAGCUGCAUUUCCGCUAUCAGUCUGUAACCAAACAACAAAGAGAUUACACGCUAUUUUUUCUAUCCGCUAAGUAAACCGCG
rnacentral:lncRNA from 1 species